CUACGGGGGGCAGCAGUAAGGAAUAUUGCGCAAUGGAGGCAACUCUGACGCAGCCAUGCCGCGUGCAGGAAGAAGGCCUUAUGGGUCGUAAACUGCUUUUAUUUAGGAAUAAACCCCCGAACGUGUUCGGGGCUGAAGGUACUAAACGAAUAAGCACCGGCUAACUCCGUGCCAGCAGCCGCGGUAAUACGGAGGGUGCAAGCGUUAUCCGGAUUUAUUGGGUUUAAAGGGUGCGCAGGCGGGCUAUUAAGUCAGUGGUGACAUCCCGGGGCUCAACUCCGGAACUGCCAUUGAUACUGAUAGUCUUGAGUUUGGUUGAAGUGGGCGGAAUGUAGCAUGUAGCGGUGAAAUGCAUUGAUAUGCUACAGAACACCAAUCGCGAAGGCAGCUCACUAAGCCAAAACUGACGCUCAUGCACGAAAGCGUGGGGAUCAAACAGGAUUAGAUACCCGAGUAGUC
rnacentral:rRNA from 1 species